rnacentral:tRNA from 1 species
GGGGGUGACGACGCUGGUGCGUCAUCCGGACUGUAAAUCCGGCGCGUGAGCAUGGCAGGUUCGAUCCCUGCCACCCCCACCA